rnacentral:lncRNA from 1 species
AUGUCUGCAACUAUAUGUUUCAAUCACUCCUUGGUUCUUAACUGUGUGAUCUGCCUUUUCUCAAAGGUUCUGACUUGUCUGUAUUGAUAAGGAAGUCAGUGGGAACUGAGAAUACCCAGAACUUUGGAAAUUACGGUGUUCAUACAGGAUAAAUUUCUUCAGAAUAUGUUAUGGAAGACCAGUUCCUCUAGUAACAUGUUGCUGUAGCCAAGGCAGCCAAGACCAGUUCCUCAGUGCAACCAUGCUACAAAGAAUUGCAGACAGAGAGAAUUGAGUGAGAAUGACACAGCUUAGGUGUCAUCAAAGUCGGGCAGCUUAGCAAACCAGCUUGGUAGUUGAGCAAAGAGGCAGCUGAAGGAGAUGAGUGCAUGCAAACAGCUGAGUGAUCAGGACUAUAAUGAGAGAAACUCAAUGCAGCCUCUUCCAGACUUCAGUGAGGACGCUGUAGAAUAGCAUUUGCAGCACUGAGCCACGCAGGGAGAGGCAGGUUAUCUGAUAGAGAGCAAUUGUUCAGCAUUGUAUCUGCCUGUGCUGGGAUAUCUGCAUCUCAAAGAAGCUAUGUCGACCAGUCAGGCUUCAGAAGCUCUUCUCCCUCAGAGGCAAAGCUUCUUGGUGGGUCCCUGUCUGGCAUGUUGGAAAUGACAUUCUGUGUGGGAAGAGUCUGAAGUGCAGAGAGCAGUGGGAACCCAGCAGCUCUGAACCACAGCCCAGAGGGUGCCCUACAGGACUGUGAAGUGCAGGAGGGAUGGAAUGUUUUCUGUCCAACAAACUGAAAUGAAAACAUUUUGACUCUCUGGUGUUUCAAUGCUUUCUGUUGAUAAAAAAAUAAAAUAAAUAGAUAUAAUUCA